AUGGAGGACACAUCUCUACUCUGGCUGCUCUUUCUGACCUCACUGCUGAGCUGCCCAACAAACCAAGCCUCUCUGACUGUGAGUCCCAGCA